rnacentral:rRNA from 1 species
GACGAACGCUGGCGGCGUGCUUAACACAUGCAAGUCGAACGGAAAGGCCCUGCUUUUGUGGGGUGCUCGAGUGGCGAACGGGUGAGUAACACGUGAGUAACCUGCCCUUGACUUUGGGAUAACUUCAGGAAACUGGGGCUAAUACCGGAUAGGAGCUCCUGCUGCAUGGUGGGGGUUGGAAAGUUUCGGCGGUUGGGGAUGGACUCGCGGCUUAUCAGCUUGUUGGUGGGGUAGUGGCUUACCAAGGCUUUGACGGGUAGCCGGCCUGAGAGGGUGACCGGCCACAUUGGGACGGAGAUACGGCCCAGACGCCUACGGGAGGCAGCAGUGGGGAAUAUUGCACAAUGGGCGGAAGCCUGAUGCAGCAACGCCGCGUGCGGGAUGACGGCCUUCGGGUUGUAAACCGCUUUCGCCUGUGACGAAGCGUGAGUGACGGUAAUGGGUAAAGAAGCACCGGCUAACUACGUG